rnacentral:tRNA from 1 species
AAAGCAAUGGGUAACGCGUUGGACUUAUAAUCCAAAGGUAGUGGAUUCGAAUCCCAUCUGAAAUG